rnacentral:rRNA from 1 species
CCUACGGGUGGCAGCAGUGAGGAAUAUUGGUCAAUGGCCGUAAGGCUGAACCAGCCAAGUCGCGUGAAGGAAGAAGGCUCUAUGGUUUGUAAACUUCUUUUGUGCGGGAGCAAUAAUGUUCACGUGUGGCCAGACGAGAGUACCCUGCGAAUAAGCAUCGGCUAACUCCGUGCCAGCAGCCGCGGUAAUACGGGGGAUGCAAGCGUUAUCCGGGUUUAUUGGGGUUAAAGGGUGCGUAUGCUGGGAGGUAAGUCCGCGGGGAAAUGCCCCCGCUCAACGGGGGGAAGUGCCAUUGAUACUGCCGUGCUGGAAUGCGGAUGCCGUGGGAGGAAUGUGUGGUGUAGCGGUGAAAUGCAUAGAUAUCACACAGAACACCGAUUGCGAAGGCAUCUCACGAAGCCGCGAUUGACGCUGAUGCACGAAAGCGUGGGUAUCAAACAGGAUUAGAUACCCCUGUAGUC